UGUAAAUUAAGGAAAAACCUCAUCUGUAGGUUGGAUUUUGCUGUCAUCUAGUAGAACUUCAUAUUGGGUCACGUUCAAAAUUCCUGUUUCAGGAUUUUUUUAAUGUACUGGUGUAGUGUUUAGUUCUUACCUUGCCAAGAGCUCCGUUUCUCUUCUCAUUUCUUACCCAACAGGUGAAUUUUUUUUUCCCCAUGUCAGUUUUCCCUUACGUGGUUCCAUCUCCUUUGCCACAGUUGCUGAUCAGAUAGCUAUAGGGACUUGGAAGUGCUCUGCCAUAUACCCAGGUCUUGCCUUUGUGAAUUAUGACUUCUUGCUUUCACUUCUCAUCUGGUGCUCUUCCUGUCAUCUGGAGAUGUGAAUAAUCCGCUCUCAGCUUUCUCAGUGAGAUCUAAUACUCAUUGUACUUGGCAGGCUUCUUAAAGUAUGGUUCCACAUUGUGGCUACAUACAUAUACACAUUUGUAUUUUGUAUUUCCAUUUAUAUUUCAUAUUUCCCAUUUUUAUUCACCUUGUCAUUUUGUCUUUGUAUCAAAGAAGAGAGCCUAGGCUUUGCCACGUUAACUAGACAUCUUGACAACAGUCAUAUGAGAAAGCCAUUCCUCUGGACUAAGCAUUGCUCUCUCACUGUCAGUCACCUUCUAGAAAGAAGAUACUGAGUUAAUGACAUGGUGACGCUUGAAGUUAGAAACCCCAGAGUCCAAAUUUAUUUUCAUCAUGUUUUGAAGGACAUAGAAAAGUGCCAGAGAAGCGUGAGUGGCAGCUGCCUGAAGGGUGAAGAAAUUGAAGAGGGAAGAAGUAUUGCCUUGUUUCUCCAGGCACUGACUUUCACAGUGAUAGCCACUGGUAUUCUCCUAAUAAUCUGUACUUCCUUGGUUCCUGAGACAAUCCUGAACAAGGACUAUGAUAAAUGGCUGAGUUCCCUCUUCCUGAGUCUGAAAUUAAUGACUGGAAACAUUAUCAACAAGUGAAAAGGCUUACUGCCUCCUGAAAUACAUUUUUGUAUCCUCUAAAGAUUGGAACUGCAACCGUGACUUUUUUCCUGCCGAGAAAAACCUACCAGUAAUGACUGUAUAAACAUCCUGGUAAGUACUUUCUAG
rnacentral:lncRNA from 1 species